rnacentral:rRNA from 1 species
AUCCUGGCUCAGAUUGAACGCUGGCGGCAUGCUUUACACAUGCAAGUCGAACGGUAACAGGCCGCAAGGUGCUGACGAGUGGCGAACGGGUGAGUAAUGCAUCGGAACGUGCCCGAUCGUGGGGGAUAACGCAGCGAAAGCUGCGCUAAUACCGCAUACGAUCUGAGGAUGAAAGCGGGGACCGUAAGGCCUCGCGCGAUCGGAGCGGCCGGUGUCAGAUUAGGUAGUUGGUGGGUAAAGGCUCACCAAGCCGACGAUCUGUAGCUGGUCUGAGAGGACGACCAGCCACACUGGGACUGAGACACGGCCCAGACUCCUACGGGAGGCAGCAGUGGGGAAUUUUGGACAAUGGGCGCAAGCUUGAUCCAGCAAUGCCGCGUGCAGGAAGAAGGCCUUCGGGUUGUAAACUGCUUUUGUACGGAGCGAAAAGGCCCUCUCUAAUACAGGGGGUUCAUGACGGUACCGUAAGAAUAAGCACCGGCUAACUACGUG